ACAGACAGACAGACAGACAGACAGACAGACAGACAGACAGACAGACAGACAGACAGACAGACACUAUAUGACCCAAGUUUUAUUAACAAUAUACACAAAAUAAGACAAAGGUUAUAAGAUUGAAGAAAUGCGCUAAACUAUUAAGUUGUAAGCAGUGCGAAAAAGUUUGCAAUGGGUUAUGGGAUGAGUAGUUCCUUCACACGUCAAAAAGAAUAUGUAUACAGUCUUGCACCUUUGCUUUUUAUUCAAAUUUCGCUAAAAAUAAUUGCUACCGACAUGACGAAUGAUUGCCUGGGUUCCAGGCUUAAAACUCUUUAUAACGAUUUUUACGAAAAGUCAAUGGAGAAAAUGAAUGGGAAAUUUACCUCCGGAACCAGAGCUUUCCAAAAAGGAGGCGGUCACUGUGUCGCUUUACAUGGUUAUGUUCAGUGACAACUAGGGGUGUAACGGUACACAAAAGUCACGGUUCGGUACGUACCUCGGUUUUUAAGUCACGGUGCGGUGCGGUUCAUAGUUAAGGGGAAAAUUAAAAAAAACUGCUUGACUGUCAACAACGGAGAAUGGCCGUAGAUCAGCAGCAAUGAAAACACCAAUAAACUUGGUUAUGGCAUUUGCAUUUCUGAAUUCCCAGACAGGGGUUGUUGAAAUAGUGUCGUGAGCUGGGUUUGCACAGCUCGUUUUUUUUCCACAGCAACAGUGAUAGUAACACCUGGAUGUUGCCUUUUCAAAUGCGUGUGCUAGGGAUGUGCAUUUCUGGCAAAAAUAUUAUUCGAUAUUCGCUGAGAAGUAUUCAAAUAAUAUUCGAAAAUUGCUCAAUCAAGAACCCCCCACACACGCACGCAGAUACACGCACACACAAUGACACAGGGAGAGGCUUGUAUGAUUUGUAUGAAAUCAACAACUGCCCCAUCAACAUUCAACAUCAAAAUUAUUUCAACGUGGGCUUAGGCAUAUAGACCUACAUGCGCCGUAAACGGAUCGCUAUUUAUUUAUUUUACUGAACACAACCUGCAUGACGGUGAACUAGAUAUAACUUCACACGGUGUGUCUUUUUACAAUUUAUUUGUUACCAGCAUUCGUAGUGUUGAUCAGCAGAGAAAAAGUCAGCCAGAGACGUUGACGUCGCUUAGCAACCGAGGACGCUAUUCACCAACGGAAGUUGUGAAGGCACAUGCAAGUCAACGGAGCAUUCAACAGCAUUGAGGAGAGCCGUGUAAUAAAUAACGAUAGUCACAUUCGAUAUUCUACGUGACUCCGACUAUUCGACGAUCGUUGCCGGAUAUGUACGCCACAUUUACGUACCGCGGUACACCUCUGUAACCGCUCCGAAGUGCCUAUACCGUGACGGUUCGGUACAAAUACGUGUACCGUUACACCCCUAGUGACAACACAACGUCAUGAUGUUCUGGACCCGUACUUGAUUAGAUCUCUUUACUUUUUUAUACCUUGAAUGUCUACCACGACCCCUAUCCAUCUUUUCAGUACUACCUG